rnacentral:rRNA from 1 species
AUUGAACGCUGGCGGCAGGCCUAACACAUGCAAGUCGAGCGGAUGAAGGGAGCUUGCUCCUGGCUUCAGCGGCGGACGGGUGUGUAAUGCCUAGGAAUCUGCCUGGUAGUGGGGGAUACCGUCCGGAAACGGGCGCUAAUAUCGCAUACGUCCUGCGGGAGAAAGUGGGGGAUCUUCGGACCUCACGCUAUCAGAUGAGCAUAGGUCGGAUUAGCUAGUUGGUGGGGUAAAGGCCUACCCAGGCGACGAUCCGUAACUGGGCUGAGAGGAUGAUCAGUCACACUGGAACUGAGACACGGUCCAGACUCCUACGGGAGGCAGCAGUGGGGAAUAUUGGACAAUGGGCGAAAGCCUGAUCCAGCCAUGCCGCGUGUGUGAAGAAGGUCUUCGGAUUGUAAAGCACUUUAAGUUGGGAGGAAGGGCAGUAAGUUAAUACCUUGCUGUUUUGACGUUACCAACAGAAUAAGCACCGGCUAACUUCGUG